GCGCCCAUAGCUCAAUUGGAUAGAGCAACGGACUUCUAAUCCGUAGGUUGCAGGUUCAAUUCCUGCUGGGCGCGCCA
rnacentral:tRNA from 2 species